rnacentral:tRNA from 1 species
CCGCCCUUAGCUCAGUUGGAUAGAGCAACAGCCUUCUAAGCUGUGGGUCACACGUUCGAUUCGUGUAGGGCGGG